CUGCGUUCUUGGGGGUGGGGGGUGGGGCGGCAGCUGGAGAGUGGGGGCUUCCCCAGCGGGAGAGGGAGGACGAUUCUGGAUGGCUUCCCUCCUUGUGGACAGAGUGAGUCUCUGCUAUGAGAAAGUAGAGACGGGGUUUCACCGUCUUAGCCAGGAUGGUCUCGAUCUCCUGACCUCGUGAUCCGCCCGCCUCGGCCUCCCAAAGUGCUAGGACUAACAGGCGUGAGCCACCGCACCCGGCCAAGCUGGAUCUUAAGCUUGCUUACCGGUGACUUGUUGACCUCAUCUUGGCUCAAAGAAGACACGGCCCCAGUUGGCUCCUAGACCCGUGUUGGAGCCACACUGCCCGGGACAGCCCUGAAGCAGCCACGUCCCCACCUUUCAGGAGUCGGCCAAGAGCACGGUGGCUGCAGAAGGCCCUGGCUGAUGGAGAUAACAUUUGACAAACAGGUGCUUUUCCAAUUAUGGAUAACAACAGAAAAGCAGUCAUUGGUUUCUAAAAGGUCAUCAAGAUAUAAAGCCCGUUUGGGAAGGGAAUGACUUACGCAGUGGGCUUGUAUAAAUCUGGAGAAGUUUUAUGCACAAGUCGGACAAGAAAUGUGUUCUACAUACGGCUCGGGAGCCAGCAAGUGCGUAUGAAGCCCCUUCACAUGGCUAGUGGCAUCCUAAGGACCCGGCGACAAUUAGUCAUGGCGUCAUCGAACACCAGGCUGGAGGAGGUCUUGGAUGCCACAGCUCCUUUUGAAUUUCAAAGACGUUCAAAUCCCCAUCUGGCUGUUACACUUUUAGGCUAUUGAGAGUGAAAACAAGCACUGACAUGAACACCCAACCAGCUGCCGGUGACAUCGUCCCCUUCUGAGAUCUGAGGACAUGGAUACCCAACCACCUGCCGGUGACAUCGUCUCCUUCUGAGAUCUGAGGACAUGAACACCCAACCACCUGCCGGUGAUAUCGUCCCCUUCUGAGAUCUGAGGACGUGGAUAUCCAACCACCUGCCGGUGACAUUGUCUCCUUCUGAGAUCUGAGGACAUGGACACCAAACCACCUGCCGGUGACAUUGUCUCCUUCUGAGAUCUGAGGACAUGAACACCAAACCACCUGCCAGUGACAUCGUCCCCUUCUGAGAUCUGAGGACAUGGAUACCCAACCACCUGCCGGUGACAUCGUCUCCUUCUGAGAUCUGAGGACAUGGACACCCAACCACCUGCCGGUGACAUCGUCUCCUUCUGAGAUCUGAGGACAUGAACACCCAACCACCUGCCGGUGAUAUCGUCCCCUUCUGAGAUCUGAGGACGUGGAUAUCCAACCACCUGCCGGUGACAUUGUCUCCUUCUGAGAUCUGAGGACAUGGACACCAAACCACCUGCCGGUGACAUUGUCUCCUUCUGAGAUCUGAGGACAUGAACACCAAACCACCUGCCAGUGACAUCGUCCCCUUCUGAGAUCUGAGGACAUGGAUACCCAACCACCUGCCGGUGACAUCAUCUUCUUCUGAGAUCUGAGGACAUGGACACCCAACCACCUGCCGGUGACAUCGUCUCCUUCUGAGAUCUGAGGACAUGGACACCAAACCACCUGCCGGUGACAUCGUCUCCUUCUGAGAUCUGAGGACAUGAACACCCAACCACCUGCCGGUGAUAUCGUCCCCUUCUGAGAUCUGAGGACGUGGAUAUCCAACCACCUGCCGGUGACAUUGUCUCCUUCUGAGAUCUGAGGACAUGGACACCAAACCACCUGCUGGUGACAUUGUCUCCUUCUGAGAUCUGAGGACAUGAACACCAAACCACCUGCCAGUGACAUCGUCCCCUUCUGAGAUCUGAGGACAUGGAUACCCAACCACCUGCCGGUGACAUCAUCUUCUUCUGAGAUCUGAGGACAUGGACACCCAACCACCUGCCGGUGACAUCGUCUCCUUCUGAGAUCUGAGGACAUGGACACCAAACCACCUGCCGGUGACAUCGUCUCCUUCUGAGAUCUGAGGACAUGAACACCCAACCACCUGCCGGUGACAUCGUCCCCUUCUGAGAUCUGAGGACAUUGAUACCCAGCCACCUGCCGGUGACAUCGUCUCCUUCUGAGAUCUGAGGAUAUGGACACCAAACCACCUGCCGGUGACAUCGUCUCCUUCUGAGAUCUGAGGACAUGAACACCCAACCACCUGCCGGUGACAUCGUCCCCUUCUGAGAUCUGAGGACAUGGAUACCCAACCACCUGCCGGUGACAUCGUCUCCUUCUGAGAUCUGAGGACAUGGACACCCAACCUGCUGCUGGUGACAUCGUUCCCUUCUGAGAUCUGAGGACAUGGACACCAAACCACCUGCCAGUGACAUCGUCUCCUUCUGAGAUCUGAGGACAUGGACACCAAACCUGCUGCCGGUGACAUCGUCCCCUUCUGAGAUCUGAGGACAUGGACACCCAACCACCUGCCGGUGACAUCGUCUCCUUCUGAGGUCUGAGGACAGACACUCACAUGGACACCUAAACACCUGCCGAUGAUAUUGUCUCCUUCUGAAAUCUGAGGACAUGGACACCCAACCAGCUGCUGGUGACAUCAUCUCCUUCUGAGAUCUGAGGACAGACACUCACAUAGACGCCCAAUCAGCUGCUGGUGACAUUGUCUCCUUCUGAAAUCUGAGGGUUGGAACACAUUGGCCUGGCUCAGUGUUUCUCCAUGUGGUUUUGAGACCACCUGAGUUGGAACCGAUAUGGGUUCCCAGCCUCACGCCUGGAGAGCUGGAUUUUGCGAGUGUGAGGUUAGGUCCAGCAUCUGCAUGUGUAACGAGCUCCCAGGUGUUUCGUAGAUGCAUUAGGGCUUGAGAAGCUCCUUUCUAGCACCAUCUUCCUUUUUGCGCAUGAGGGAGUUCAGGUCCAGAGAAAUAAAGCAGCAAGGUUAGUGGCACAGCUGGCGCCCCCUGCUUUCUAGGAAUUUAGAAUAUUAUUGAAGAGAGAGGUAUUAGAACCUGUGAAGUCAAUACAGAGACCUCCAGGCGAGUGGCAUCCUCACUGAAACCACUGACAAGUAUGCUGAAUAGAAAGUGUCAUUUCUCCUGGAAGACCCUCAGUGACCCAGCUGGAGGGUCUCUCCUACUCAUCAGCUGUCCCUCACUCUGCCAUUUCAG
rnacentral:lncRNA from 10 species